AAAGGGAGACCUAAUUCGGGUAUAAGACGAAAAAAUAGUAGUCGAAACCAAGAAUCAAUCCCAAAAGGCCGGAACGAGGUAUGUGGCUUUCAAACUAGGUUCUGGGUUCAUAAAAGACCUGAAUCAGGAACAAGGGCUAUUAGCUCAGGUGGUUAGAGCGCACCCCUGAUAAGGGUGAGGUCCCUGGUUCGAGUCCAGGAUGGCCCACCUGCACAGGUGGCAAAAACAAAGAAAAGAAGCGAGGAAUCAGCACCUUAUCUUACUUAUAUAGUAAGAGAGAAUGCUGGCUCUGAGUACAGAGUCCAGAGGAACCUUGAAAACUGCAUAGAGCUAGGUGAAAAAGCCAAAAAAGAAGACCGCAAG
rnacentral:tRNA from 1 species